GUGAGGAAUAUUGGUCAAUGGACGAGAGUCUGAACCAGCCAAGUCGCGUGAAGGAAGACGGUUCUAUGAAUUGUAAACUUCUUUUGUGCAGGAAUAAAGUGGGUUACGUGUAACCUUUUGUAUGUACUGUACGAAUAAGGAUCGGCUAACUCCGUGCCAGCAGCCGCGGUAAUACGGAGGAUCCGAGCGUUAUCCGGAUUUAUUGGGUUUAAAGGGUGCGUAGGUGGAUUGAUAAGUCAGCGGUGAAAGUUUGCAGCUUAACUGUAAAAUUGCCGUUGAAACUGUCGGUCUUGAGUGCAAAUGAGGUAGGCGGAAUGUGUUGUGUAGCGGUGAAAUGCUUAGAUAUAACACAGAACUCCGAUUGCGAAGGCAGCUUACUGGGAUGCAACUGACACUGAUGCACGAAAGCGUGGGUAUCAAACAGGAUUAGAUACCCCAGUAGUCC
rnacentral:rRNA from 1 species